rnacentral:rRNA from 1 species
CACGCCGUAAACGAUGUGCGCUAGCUGUGCGGUUCGUAAAGAACUGCGUGGCUGAGCCAACGCGAUAAGCGCACCGCCUGGGGAGUACGGCCGCAAGGCUAAAACUCAAAGGAAUUGACGGGGGCCCGCACAAGCAGCGGAGCGUGUGGUUUAAUUCGAUGCAACGCGAAGAACCUUACCUAGAUUUGACAUACAAGUAGUAGGGAGCCGAAAGGUGACCGACCUUCGGGAGCUUGUACAGGUGC